CCCUGCCCCAACACCUCGCUGCAGCUCCAGCUGCCUCCUGAUAUUGUGGGGUUUUUUUUAUUCAGCUCAAUAAAAAUCUGUGAUUCAUUAAGUGCUUGUCAUGUUUUGAUACGUGGAUCAGGAACUGAUCAAUAGCCAGCCAAAUUUAAUAAAAAGGAGCUCCAUUCUUGGGAAAUGAGCUUGUUACCAUGCCAACUAUCGAUCUCUCCUGACAAGCUGCUGUAAGUUGCAAAAUGGGGUCUUGAUGGGUUGGUUGGUGUCCUUGCUGCCUGCCAGCCUCCACUGCAGCCUCUUUAUUUACAAGACUUUGGAGACAACCUUAUUUUUAAAUACUAUAUCUAUGUAACUCUUUGGCAGAGGUUCUAGAUUGCCUGGAGCUACCAGAAAUCAUCCACAGGCUGUGCUUUUCUUACUGGCUGUAAGGUGGUGGCAUCACAGUGCAGAAGGAGCAGAGCUCUGGAUGUGGACCCACUCUGAUAUGAGUGAUGCUCUGAAACAACAGUCCAACAGCGGCCCACAUCCUUCCGCAGGACUGUGGCUCAAGGCCAGGGAUGGAGGUUUUAAGAUUGGAUGGUGAAUUGUUGCCAUUGGAUGACAGGUUUGGGAGCUCUUCACUUCCUAUGGUCACACUAUGCAUGCGUGGAAAAUUAAUGCCAACAACAAAAUAUCAUCAAGGACACCAGCACCCACCUGGGGAGCACCAUUGCAGGGCUGUGACUGUCAGCAGGUGAGAAGCAUCAUUGGUUGCAAAGAGUUAAACCUGUGUUCUCUGGGGUGGGCUUGAAACACAGAGCUGUUGGGUAUAUCUCAUGUCGUCUGAUUUGGAGAUGGGUAUUUUUUUCCCUUGCAGCUGAGGAGGCUUAUUGCAGUGUUGAGUUCUGAGUGCAGGGUUAGAGACUGUGCUGUAUAUUUACCAGAUGGUGGAUUUGGUCUGUGUGCUUAUUUCUGCCUUUUCUCUUUCUUUUUUUAAUGGUUGUUAAAUUCAUUAUUUAGAGGGGAAGCCUAUAUAAAUGUGUACCUGCUCUAAGGUUCUAGAAAGGCAGCAAGCAGGGGAAGGUGAAGAAGCAGUGCUGUGCUAAAACACGUAUAUUUGAAGACUGUUUUAAGUGCAUCCUGUUAGUAUCAGAGACCUGGCAGUGACUUCUACCUGUGGCAGGUGAUGCUGAGGCUUUCUGUACAGCUGUACCUAUUUCAGUGCCAUCCUUGCUGCAGUUUCUACCGCAUCAUCCCUUCUCCUUAAGCGCAGAAAGUCACAGGGCUGCUCCCCUGGGGUGCCCCAGCAUCAGCAGUAUUAGUGACAAGGUGACAGGGACUGCCAAAUGGACAGAUCCAGGAUGGGUUGGGGGGCUGGAGGGGGCUUAGGCUGGGUGUGGGGGGCUGCUAUGGGCCUCCGGUCUCCUAAAUAGAUGAGAGGGUCUCCAAAACAGAUUUCCAGCCCGGGAGGGGGGGGUGGGGACGGGACAAUGCG
rnacentral:lncRNA from 1 species